rnacentral:tRNA from 1 species
GGAGAGGUACCGAAGUGGUCAUAACGGCGCUGACUCGAAAUCAGUUGGGGGCGUAUCGUCCCACGCGGGUUCGAAUCCCGCCCUCUCCG